GGAUGAACGCUGGCGGCGUGCCUAAUACAUGCAAGUCGAGCGAACAGAUAAGGAGCUUGCUCCUUUGACGUUAGCGGCGGACGGGUGAGUAACACGUGGGUAACCUACCUAUAAGACUGGGAUAACUUCGGGAAACCGGAGCUAAUACCGGAUAACAUUUGGAACCGCAUGGUUCUAAAGUGAAAGAUGGUUUUGCUAUCACUUAUAGAUGGACCCGCGCCGUAUUAGCUAGUUGGUAAGGUAACGGCUUACCAAGGCRACGAUACGUAGCCGACCUGAGAGGGUGAUCGGCCACACUGGAACUGAGACACGGUCCAGACUCCUACGGGAGGCAGCAGUAGGGAAUCUUCCGCAAUGGGCGAAAGCCUGACGGAGCAACGCCGCGUGAGUGAUGAAGGGUUUCGGCUCGUAAAACUCUGUUAUUAGGGAAGAACAAAYGUGUAAGUAACUGUGCACGUCUUGACGGUACCUAAUCAGAAAGCCACGGCUAACUAC
rnacentral:rRNA from 1 species